AGUGAACGCUGGCGGUAGGCCUAACACAUGCAAGUCGAACGGCAGCACAGUAAGAGCUUGCUCUUACGGGUGGCGAGUGGCGGACGGGUGAGGAAUACAUCGGAAUCUACUUUUUCGUGGGGGAUAACGUAGGGAAACUUACGCUAAUACCGCAUACGACCUACGGGUGAAAGCAGGGGAUCUUCGGACCUUGCGCGAUUGAAUGAGCCGAUGUCGGAUUAGCUAGUUGGCGGGGUAAAGGCCCACCAAGGCGACGAUCCGUAGCUGGUCUGAGAGGAUGAUCAGCCACACUGGAAGUGAGACACGGUCCAGACUCCUACGGGAGGCAGCAGUGGGGAAUAUUAGACAAUGGGCGCAAGCCUGAUACAGCCAUACCGCGUGGGUGAAGAAGGCCUUCGGGUUGUAAAGCCCUUUUGUUGGGAGAGAAAAGCAGCAGGUUAAUACCCCGCUGUUCUGACGGUACCCAAAGAAUAAGCACCGGCUAACUUCGUG
rnacentral:rRNA from 1 species